GGCCAUGGAGAUCAACUGGGAUGAUUCAGUCCCCAGAUCUUUUUCUGUCUCGGCGCUCGUUCGGUGCUGUGGAAACAGUCAGACGAGAAGCAGAACGAACGGGGCGACCAGAGCCCAGCAUACCACCACCUGGCCUAGACACCCAGGACACCAGAAGAAAAAGAAGAAUGCUGCAGAAUGCAAAGUACAAAAGGUAAGAAAAUUUAUCCUCAAUUCAGCAGAAACACUUAUAACAUAAUCUUUCAUAUAGUUUGUAAUCACUUCACUUUCUUCUUCUUUCUUCUUAUUGAGCAUGGCAGAGUUGAACCACUACAGAAGGUCUUCUUCAGAAGACCCCAAAGGCAGUAAUGUGCCCAUUCUGAGAAUGGUUUGUCUACCAGUGUGGUUAAUUAAGAAAUCAGAAGGUUUUUACUGCCUCACUCAAGAUUAAAUAACAUGUUUCCAGUUGAAACAAAUUGAUCACAGCAGCCAUUAAAAAAUCAAAGGGGUCUUGCCUAUUUGCUCAUUACAUUUGAAAUAACACAAUUUCAGAACAGACGAAGCUUCAGUUUAAGAAUUAUUUGUGAUUUAUUUAUACUUGGAUUUGCCUCUGAAUAUUUAAUCCAUGUUUUUAUUGCAAUCUGGACACAUCUGGAAAUAUAGGUUUAAAUAAUCUGCUCCUAAUUAAGGGCCAGCAGGACACGGAACUGGUUUUGUGACUCGCUCGACUCCGAUGUUGGUACGGUGUUUGGGUUGAGUGAACAUUUUUGUGUUCUUCACUGUGAUGGUGGCAUUUCUGACUGGGGCGCGCUGGCAUGGGUGGGGUUGAGGAUCCUGUGAGUCCAAAGUCCUGACCCUCAACCUUCUUCUCGGAGGGACGGUUAGGACAUGUCUCAAGUUCAUCGUCCCCCUGGGUGGCGCUCAGCUCAACUUACCUCCACCUGCCUGCCCCUUCACCUCCUGACUACCAGCCCUGCAGAACCGUCUGCUUAACAUAUCCCUGCAAAGCUCCACUUACAGCUGUUAAACAACACUGCUGCAGUGUUAUCAAGCCCAGCACACCUCCACCUGGCCCAGACACACAGGACACCAGAAGAAGAAUGCUGCAGAAUGCAAAGUACAAAAGGUAAGGAAAUUGCUGAAUGAUCCAAAAUGUAUAAAUUUGCAUGUGUAAUCAGGUGU
rnacentral:lncRNA from 1 species